rnacentral:misc_RNA from 1 species
CAACCCUCACGCCCCCCUGGGUGUGGUGUUGGGAGCCCCGCGGCCACCGCGCCGCGGGCUCCCCAAAUGCAUCGGCGGUCCCGCCUGGCGGCUCCCUGCGUAGUAGUCUUCUCCUCGCAUAGGGUCCCGGGUGGUUGGCCGGCCGCUAAACCCGCCCGCAGCGCACGCUGCGCGGCACGCUA